rnacentral:rRNA from 1 species
CCUACGGGAGGCAGCAGUGAGGAAUAUUGGUCAAUGGCCGAGAGUCUGAACCAGCCAAGUAGCGUGAAGGAUGACUGCCCUAUGGUUUGUAAACUUCUUUUAUAUGGGAAUAAAAUGUUCCACGUGUGGGAUUUUGUAUGUACCAUAUGAAUAAGGAUCGGCUAACUCCGUGCCAGCAGCCGCGGUAAUACGGAGGAUCCGAGCGUUAUCCGGAUUUAUUGGGUUUAAAGGGAGCGUAGGUGGAUUGUUAAGUCAGGUGUGAAAGUUUGCGGCUCAACCGUAAAAUUGCAGUUGAAACUGGCAGUCGUGAGUACAGUAGAGGUGGGCGGAAUGCGUGGUGUAGCGGUGAAAGGCUGAGAUAUCACGAAGAACUCCGAGUGCGAAGGCAGCUCACUGGAGGGCAACUGACACUGAGGCUCGAAAGUGUGGGUAUCAAACAGGAUUAGAUACCCUGGUAGUC